rnacentral:lncRNA from 1 species
ACUGAGGGUGUCACCCGGGACCGCGGCUCAGGAACCCCAGACGCACGGGCCUUGUGCUGUCGCUGCCGUGGCACCCCUUCUAGAAGUCGUGAAGGGGCCUCGUGACUGGGCCUCAUGCCAAACAACUCAUUACAAAAGGAGCUAUGGUCCCAGACCACAACGAAGCUUCAUGAGACCUCUCCUCAUCUGUGCACGGACAAGUGUCUGACUCUGGAGCCCAGGCUGUUGCUUUCCAGUCUGGUGGUGAAUCCUUCACAGUCUGAAAAUCUAGGUAUCUUGCACCAAGAAGUGGAAAAUAAAGAAGAGAAAUGAGAACCAUGUUUGUAUUGGCUGUCUAUAAAAUAAGAGUUCUAGGUACAUGAAAUCCACUGGUGUGCUGGUAAAUGUUUAAUAACCAGUCCUCUGGAAAGGAGAAAGUUGAAGACCCCAUUUAUACAUUUGCUCAUUUCUGUGGUGUAAAUACCCUGAAAAUAGCUGAUUUCGAGCUAUCAACAUUACUGAAGAUGGAGCUGGGAAGAGGGAGAAGUUAAGUGAAGUUUUCCAACCCACAGCUGUUUUGGCUGAGGCUCCAAAGACUGAGAAUAAAUCAGUAUCUGCCCAGUCACCACGGUGUGCCAAAGGAGGUGCUGGAUUGCCUCGUCAGGACAUGCUACAUGGAUGGAGAGAAGAUUCCUUGGGGAGAUUUGGUGUGUGCAUAACCAGUCCUUCCAGCACUGGAGAAAGGAGGAGUCCUGCACAGGUUGUACACGAUUCUUUCCACCUGGAAACUUGAAACAUGUGCCCUGGAGUUGAGGAUGCUUGGUUUAAUGAUACUGACCUGCAAUUGAGAAGACCAAAAGGGCGAGACAUACCUUCACGCAAGGCGAGGAUGCAUGAGUUUUCCUGUGAAGCAGGAAAGAGUUUAACAAUUCACGGUUGCACAGUAGCGCUAGCGGCUUUGCGGUUUGGUCCUCAGACCCGGCAGCCGCCACUGGUGAUGAGCUGCUAGGAAGCCCCUGUCGGCAAGCUCGUUGGAGCUUGAAUCCACUGUCACCCCUCUGACUCACUGGCAAAAAAAAAAAAAAAGUUGAAGCAGAUUGUCCAGCAAAGUUCUUCAUUGGUGGGCUUAAUACGGAAACAAAUAAGAAAGCUCUUGAAGCAGUAUUUGGCUAAUAUGGACGAAUAGUGGAAGCACUCUUGAUGAAAGAGCAUGAAACCAACAAAUCAAGAGGAUUUGCUUUUGUCACCUUUGAAAGCCCAGCAGAUGCUAAGGAUGCAGCCAGAGACAUGAAUGGAAAGUCAUUAGAUGGAAAAGCCAUCAAGGUGGAACAAGCCACCAAACCAUCAUUUGAAAGUGGUAGACGUGGACUGCCUCCACCUCCAAGAAGUAGAGGCCCUCCAAAAGGUCUUAGAGGUGGAAGAGGAAGAAGUGGAGGAACCAGGAGACCUCCCUCAUGGAGAAGACACAUGGAUGACAGUGGAUACUCCAUGAAUUUUAACAUGAGUUCUUCCAGGGGACCACUCCCAGUAAAAAGAAGACCACCACCAAGAAGUGGGGGUCCUCCUCCUAAGAGUUCUGCACCUUCAGGACCAGUUCGCAGCAGCAGUGGAAUGGGAGGAAGAGCUCCUGUGUCACGUGGAAGAGAUAGUUAGUGCGGUCCACCUGGAAGGGAACCGCUGCCCUCUCGUAGAGGGUUCUUCUUGAAGACAGUUCUUCAAGCAGAGAUUAGCCAAGUUCUCGUGAUACAAGAGGUUAUGCACCACCACCACCGCGAGAUUGUACUUACCGUGAUUAUGGUCAUUUCAGUUCACGUGAUGACUAUCCAUCAAGAGGCUAUAGCGAUAGAGAUGGAUAUAAUAGUGAUCAUGACUAUUCAGAUCAUCCAGCUGGAGAUUCCUACAGAGAUUCAUAUGAAAGUUAUCGUAACUCACGUAGUGCUCCACCUACAGGAGGGCCCCCGCCCCCCCAUCUUAUGGUGGAAGCGAUGAUUAUAGCAGUUCACGUGACGGAUAUGGUGGAAGUCGAGACAGUUACUCAAGCAGCCGAAGUGAUCUCUAAUCAAGUGGUCGUGGUCGGGUUGGCAGACAAGAAAGACGGCUUCCCCCUUCUAUGGAAAUCCUCCACGUGAUUCCCACGGCAAUUCAGGCGGUGGAGCACCAAGAGGUGGUGGCAGUGGAGGAAGCCGAUCUGAUAGAGGGGGAGGCAGAAGCAGAUACUAGAAACAAACAAAACUUUAGACCAAAAUCCCAGUUCAAAGAAACAAACAAAAAGUGCAAACUAUUCUGUCAUAACUACCCAAGGACUACUUAAAGGAAAAAUUGUGUUACCUUUUAAAAAUUCCCUGUUAAGUUCCCCUCCGUAAUUUUUAUGUUCUUGUGAGGAAAAAAGUAAAACAUGUUUAAUUUUUUUGACCUCUUAUUUUUAUUUUUUUAAAUUAUACUUUAAGUUCUAGGGUACAUGUGCACAACGUGCAGGUUUGUUAUAUAGGUAUGCAUGUGUCAUGUUGGUUUGCUGCACCCAUUAACUCGUCAUUUACAUUAGGUAUUUCUCCUAAUGCUAUCCCUCCCCCUGCCCUCCACCCCCGAAAGGCCCCGGGGUGUGAUGUUCCCUGCUCUGUGUCUAAGUGUUCUCAUUGUUCAAUUCCCAAUUAUGAGUGAGAACGUGCAGUGUUUGGUUUUCUGCCCUUGUGAUAGUUUGCUCAGAAUGAUGGUUUCCAGCUACGUCCAUGUCCCUGCAAAGGACAUGAACUCAUCCUUUUUAAUGGCUGCAUAGUAUUCCAUGGUGUAUAUGUGCCACAUUUUUUAAAUUAAUUAAUUAAUUUAUUUAUUUUUUAAUUAUUAUACUUUAAGUUUUAGGGUACAUGUGCACAUUGUGCAGGUUACUUACAUACGUAUACAUGUGCCAUGCAGGUGUGCUGCACCCACUAACUUGUCAUCUAGCA